rnacentral:rRNA from 1 species
GUCCAGACUCCUACGGGAGGCAGCAGUGAGGAAUAUUGGUCAAUGGGCGGGAGCCUGAACCAGCCAAGUCGCGUGAGGGAUGACGGCCCUAUGGGUUGUAAACCUCUUUUGUCAGGGAGCAACGCCGGCUACGUGUAGCCGGACUGAGAGUACCUGAAGAAAAAGCAUCGGCUAACUCCGUGCCAGCAGCCGCGGUAAUACGGAGGAUGCGAGCGUUAUCCGGAUUUAUUGGGUUUAAAGGGUGCGUAGGCGGAAUGCCAAGUCAGCGGUAAAAUCGCGGGGCUCAACCUCGCUCCGCCGUUGAAACUGGCGUUCUUGAGUGGGCGAGAAGUAUGCGGAAUGCGUGGUGUAGCGGUGAAAUGCAUAGAUAUUAGGAGGAACACCAGUGGCGAAGGCGGCUUACUGGACAGUAACUGACGUUGAGGCUCGAAAGCGUGGGGGGCAAACAGGAUUAGAUACCCGGGUAGG